rnacentral:rRNA from 1 species
CAGUCGCCGCGGGAAUAUGUAGGUGGCAAGCGUUGUCCGGAAUUAUUGGGCGUAAAGGGCUCGCAGGCGGUUUCUUAAGUCUGAUGUGAAAGCCCCCGGCUCAACCGGGGAGGGUCAUUGGAAACUGGGAAACUUGAGUGCAGAAGAGGAGAGUGGAAUUCCACGUGUAGCGGUGAAAUGCGUAGAGAUGUGGAGGAACACCAGUGGCGAAGGCGACUCUCUGGUCUGUAACUGACGCUGAGGAGCGAAAGCGUGGGGAGCGAACAGGAUUAGAUACCCGUGUAGUCCCUGUCUCUUAUAC